CCGGAUAGCAGCUGCUGGUGGAUUAGUGGCGACGGGUGAGUAACACGUGAGCAACCUGCCCCUGACUCUGGGAUAAGCGCUGGAAACGGCGUCUAAUACUGGAUAUGUCCCAUCACCGCAUGGUGUGUGGGUGGAAAGAUUUUUCGGUUGGGGAUGGGCUCGCGGCCUAUCAGCUUGUUGGUGAGGUAAUGGCUCACCAAGGCGUCGACGGGUAGCCGGCCUGAGAGGGUGACCGGCCACACUGGGACUGAGACACGGCCCAGACUCCUACGGGAGGCAGCAGUGGGGAAUAUUGCACAAUGGGCGGAAGCCUGAUGCAGCAACGCCGCGUGAGGGAUGACGGCCUUCGGGUUGUAAACCUCUUUUAGCAGGGAAGAAGCGAGAGUGACGGUACCUGCAGAAAAAGCACCGGCUAACUACGUGCCAGCAGCCGCGGUAAUACGUAGGGUGCAAGCGUUAUCCGGAAUUAUUGGGCGUAAAGAGCUCGUAGGCGGUCUGUCGCGUCUGCUGUGAAAUUCCGAGGCUCAACCUCGGGCUUGCAGUGGGUACGGGCAGACUAGAGUGCGGUAGGGGAGAUUGGAAUUCCUGGUGUAGCGGUGGAAUGCGCAGAUAUCAGGAGGAACACCGAUGGCGAAGGCAGAUCUCUGGGCCGUAACUGACGCUGAGGAGCGAAAGGGUGGGGAGCAAACAGGCUUAGAUACCCUGGUAGUCCACCCCGUAAACGUUGGGAACUAGUUGUGGGGUCCUUUCCACGGAUUCCGUGACGCAGCUAACGCAUUAAGUUCCCCGCCUGGGGAGUACGGCCGCAAGGCUAAAACUCAAAGGAAUUGACGGGGACCCGCACAAGCGGCGGAGCAUGCGGAUUAAUUCGAUGCAACGCGAAGAACCUUACCAAGGCUUGACAUACACGAGAACGGGCCAGAAAUGGUCAACUCUUUGGACACUCGUGAACAGGUGGUGCAUGGUUGUCGUCAGCUCGUGUCGUGAGAUGUUGGGUUAAGUCCCGCAACGAGCGCAACCCUCGUUCUAUGUUGCCAGCACGUAAUGGUGGGAACUCAUGGGAUACUGCCGGGGUCAACUCGGAGGAAGGUGGGGAUGACGUCAAAUCAUCAUGCCCCUUAUGUCUUGGGCUUCACGCAUGCUACAAUGGCCGGUACAAUGGGCUGCAAUACCGUGAGGUGGAGCGAAUCCCAAAAAGCCGGUCCCAGUUCGGAUUGAGGUCUGCAACUCGACCUCAUGAAGUCGGAGUCGCUAGUAAUCGCAGAUCAGCAACGCUGCGUGCAUU
rnacentral:rRNA from 1 species